AGGGUUCGAUUCUGGCUCAGGAUGAACGCUGGCGGCGUGCUUAACACAUGCAAGUCGAACGGGAUCCAUCAAGCUUUGCUUGGUGGUGAGAGUGGCGAACGGGUGAGUAAUGCGUGACCGACCUGCCCCAUACACCGGAAUAGCUCCUGGAAACGGGUGGUAAUGCCGGAUGCUCCAGUUGAUCGCAUGGUCUUCUGGGAAAGCUUUCGCGGUAUGGGAUGGGGUCGCGUCCUAUCAGCUUGACGGCGGGGUAACGGCCCACCGUGGCUUCGACGGGUAGCCGGCCUGAGAGGGCGACCGGCCACAUUGGGACUGAGAUACGGCCCAGACUCCUACGGGAGGCAGCAGUGGGGAAUAUUGCACAAUGGGCGCAAGCCUGAUGCAGCGACGCCGCGUGAGGGAUGGAGGCCUUCGGGUUGUAAACCUCUUUUAUCGGGGAGCAAGCGUGAGUGAGUUUACCCGUUGAAUAAGCACCGGCUAACUACGUGCCAGCAGCCGCGGUAAUACGUAGGGUGCAAGCGUUAUCCGGAAUUAUUGGGCGUAAAGGGCUCGUAGGCGGUUCGUCGCGUCCGGUGUGAAAGUCCAUCGCUUAACGGUGGAUCCGCGCCGGGUACGGGCGGGCUUGAGUGCGGUAGGGGAGACUGGAAUUCCCGGUGUAACGGUGGAAUGUGUAGAUAUCGGGAAGAACACCAAUGGCGAAGGCAGGUCUCUGGGCCGUUACUGACGCUGAGGAGCGAAAGCGUGGGGAGCGAACAGGAUUAGAUACCCUGGUAGUCCACGCCGUAAACGGUGGAUGCUGGAUGUGGGGCCCGUUCCACGGGUUCCGUGUCGGAGCUAACGCGUUAAGCAUCCCGCCUGGGGAGUACGGCCGCAAGGCUAAAACUCAAAGAAAUUGACGGGGGCCCGCACAAGCGGCGGAGCAUGCGGAUUAAUUCGAUGCAACGCGAAGAACCUUACCUGGGCUUGACAUGUUCCCGACAGCCCCAGAGAUGGGGCCUCCCUUCGGGGCGGGUUCACAGGUGGUGCAUGGUCGUCGUCAGCUCGUGUCGUG
rnacentral:rRNA from 1 species